AUUUAUUGGAAUGUCAAAGCGGUCUUACAUGGAGGUGGUAAUGAACGGUUUAAACUCCAACGACUUGGUUGAUGUUGGUCCAAUCUCUGCAUUAGUGUUUCAAUUUCAGACGCCCAGGUGCUGAUAAAAUUUACAAUGUUUUUCAACAAUCAACUUCAUGCAGUUUUGAAAAAAUUGAAAUUUGAUAAGCAACUCGUGAUGGAGAAUGUAUGAAAGAUAAUUAAUGAAGCAGAUGAUUACCAUUCAUAUCUUAUCGCCCCUGAACAAGGAUAUCGCUGUCUCACUGAAUCUUUGUUAAUUACUAUUAGAGGCCAUGCAGAGGUAGCAGUUGAUGGGUAGGCAUUAUUUUAACUCACUGCCUAUAUUCACCGUCAAACAUAGUUGUACACACUAAUGUAAAUUAACAUUUUAAAAAAAUGAAAGUUGUGUAGUCAUAUGGGUA